CACAAUAAGCUGUUCCUGCCCCCUCGAGAGCUGACUACUGAGCUGCGAAGACAACCCAUCAAACAGUUAACAUCUUGGGAGAAAGGAAAAGCAGAGCAAGGGGAGAGACCAGCAGGGCAAGGCACACCCUCGGCUCAAAUUUGCUUUGAAGGUCAGUAAUUUUUACUUCUUUUCAAAACAACUGCACAUUUCUUCUGGCACCCAAAUGCUGAUUCUCUGCACUGAAGAAUGUCUCCCUCAACAACAGACACACCCUGGAGGGAUGUAUCGUCUCCCCACCCCCACCCUAAAUCCCGGACUGGCUGCAGAGACCACCCAAUGCAGCCUCAUUGCCUGGAGCAUCCUAGAGUCACCAAGGGCCACCUUGCCAUCUUAGGAAUGGGAACCAACAUCAACCAAGGCCAAGAUGGAUGCAUCUUUUCAAGCUCUGCGUGCAGUGCCCCUGGGUCCCACCUGCUCACUGCUCUCCCAGCCUUGCCCUCCUCUGGCUCCCUCACCUCACAGAGAGCCAGUAUGCUGAGAAGAAAGCCCCUCCAGCACCAGAUCACUCUGCUGUUUUUGAGCUCUCUGCCAGGAGUCCUGUGGUAAAGGCCUGGACCGGUCCUGGGCUGGAAGACAGGGCACCUGGCACACCACUGACUGACCUGCCAUGUGACUCCAGGCCAGCUAUUAACUCCUCUACCAGGGGCAAUCUCAAUACUAACCACAGGUGGUCGGGACCCACCAGAAGUUAUCGGCAUGAACAAGUUUUGGAAAUUAAAGUGCUAUAAAAAUUACAUAACUCUGUGGCCCAGAUAUUCUGUCAAGUGUUAAUUCUCUCUCACAGUUUGAAUUCUACUGAUCACUUUCUUUACCCAUGAAGGAUAAUUAAUAACGAAACCAUUUGUGGAGUUUCUAUCAUGUUCCAAGUACAUUACAAAUAUCCCAAAGUAAAGGAUCUUACAGGAGAGGGGACCAAGACUUGGAGACGCAGAGAAGAUACUUCAUUCAACAAACACUUGUAAAGCUCUGCCAUGGGCAUUUUGUUACACUUGACACGGGCACUUCGGACCAACCCUGUCCUCACCUACACAGAGUGUUGACUGGACUCCAGCGACGCUCCAACCCCAGGCUGUCUGCAUCCAAAGCAAAUGCCUCCUUUGGCUCCCCGACUUUGCUUGCUUGCUCUCUGUGGACAAGUUUUUCCUAAGAUAAGGCGAGGAUCUAAAAGGGCUGCUUCUUGAUUCCUCUCCAAACACAUGAUGGAGUCUCAUGUCUGUUGGCGGUCCGCUGGAAUCCUUGACACUCAGCUGGGGAGGGUCUUGGUUCUCUUGCCUCGAGCUUAAUCUCCACCCCAUGGUCGCAAUGCCUCCUACUGCUCUUCUGCUCCUGUCUCUCCCCUGCGUUCUGGCUGACCUUGGGUUGGCACUUCCUCUGUUCCUGAGGCUUCCAUGGCUCCUCAGUGCCUGUUGACUUCUCAGCCCCGUGUCUCAAUCCUUCUUAACUUAGUCCCACCACCUUUCUCAUCUUCUCCCGGACUCCUCCCUCCUUGUGCCAUGGACUCCCUGCAGAUCAUGUGACCACCGUGGGUCUCUCUUUGCUUGGCAGGAGGGAUGGACCUGAGUUUCUCCCAGGGUCUGGGGUCUGGCCUGGUCUUAAUUCAUCCCUCAUCUUUGCCUGAACCCUCGUUGGGGUCCAGGAUCCAUCCUUCCCCUGACUGGUGUGCCCUUUUCCCUGCAGGACGUCUCCACCGUCCUUGGAUGGGAAAGAGGAAUGAAAUUCCCCAGUGCUAGGAAAUGGAGCUUUCUGGGCUUCUUCAGAGAGUCCAGGCAGGGCUUUAGGUCAUGGCUAUAUUUUAUAGAUUUCUUUCUCUCUAAAAGUGAUAUUUUCCUACUAGGGGAAGCAUUUCACAAGCCAAGGCACCCAGCUCAGCCAGAAGCUUGCUAGUGGGGUCACAGUAAGACAGAUGCAGGGUGACCUGGGGGGAGUUGGGGUAGGGAGAGAGGUCAUGCUCUUAAAACAACUGCAGAGAAGAAGACCGCAUUGAGAGCAUUCAACACUCCUUUAUCCAGGGCCCCCUGGGUGCGAGGCUGGCACUCAACUUCUGAGGGCCUUCGAGGCACCCUGAGAGGCCCUUCCUUUUUCUUUGAUUGGCCUAAGAAGAGAAAAUAGAAGUCGACUCCUGGUUUGUUUCUUCGGGUGGUUCCAUUUCCCCUUCUUGUCUGUCGCCCGUCUCCUUGUCCUCGGAAACAAGCCCUGGGAACCUUCUCUUUUAACGGGAAAUUGAGGGAGGCUCCAAAAGCAAAACGCUGAUGCUUCGACACCCUGGGAGUUCUUGCACAGUGGUCCCUGCUUCAUUUGUUUGUUUGCUCGUUUACUCACGAGCUCACUCACUCGUUCGGCAGGUGUGUGCUGAGUGCUCGCUGCAUGCCAGGCAGCGUCCUAGAGCUGCCAGUGAGCCAUGUGGAACCAGGUGGAGGAGCCUCUGCUCACAUGGAGCUUCAAGUUCAGCAGCCAUUCGCUGGUUAUUUAGGAUACUGUGGACUGGUGGCCCUGCUGUUCCCCCUGCCACUGCCGGGGUCCCCCUUCUUUCCCGAGGGGGAGGCUCAGCACACCUCCAUCAGCCACCCACGAGCACUCGCUCUUUGCUUCCACCUGCUUGGUCAGCUCCUGACCUGGCUCAGCUUCAGUCCAGGGUCCCGUCCUCCCCUGGGCCUUGGUAGCACCAGCAGCCUGACCAGCUGCCCAAGUUGGGGUGACAUUCCCAGUGGCAACACAUGGGAUUCACCCGAAGCUGUUUUCACUAGCUCCUGGGAGGGUCCCAUGGCUUCCCAUGGUUACUUGUCCACCCUAGGAGCACCCCUUCAUUCCAACAACGCUUGGGAAAGCCUGCCGUGUACCUGGCGCUGCUCGCGGGGUCAGCUAAGUCAGGGACUCCUGUUUUGCUUCGUUGGUAACAUCUUCUGGUUUCCAGAUGACCUCUCAGUGUAUGUCCAGGUGUUGCCCUCACUAUUGAUUUCUGUCUCAUUAACACCAGGGACUGGAGACCCACAACAAAUAUUUGUUGACCAAGUGACUGAGGACGUUUGGGAAAGGCUUGCCAGAAGAACAAACGUUUGAGCUGGGCCUUAAAGAGGGGUAGGAGCUUCCUGGGUGAAUAAAGGGCUUGGAAAGGCCAGGCCAGUAGAGGAGACAGCAUGAACAAAGGCCUGAGAGAAAGGUGUGAGAGAAAGAACCUGGUAGUGUUGGGGGCCUGGUGAGAGGUUCCACGUGACUAAGGGGGAGCCAAUUGCACCCUGGGAGCGCAGCUGCAGCUGAGGCUGCCAGGAAAAGGAGGGGGAGUCAGAGAAUCUGAGGAGCCUGGAAAGACACUAGGGAAUUUGGACUCCAACUGAUAGAAGUUAGUGGUGAUUUUUGAGAAAGGGAGUGACACCAUUUUAUGUAUUUAUUUUUUAGGUCAGUUACUGCGGGUGUGGGUAGAAUGUAGACUUAGGGGGAGAAUGAUAGAGAAAAAAGUAUUUAGAAUAUUUAGAAGGCUCUUGUGAUAGCCUCUUUUAAAAUCUAUAUUUAAUGAAGCUCCGAAUAGUGAUAAAGGACCAGCUAAACUAAAAAUACACUGUGAUGGGGAGAAUAAUGAAUUUUCAAAUUAUUCUGUUAUUUACAUAGAAUCAAAGAGGCUCCCUUCCCAGAAGGACUCCCCUGUAAUUCUAGUGGCUACUCACGUGCAUUUAACUUGACCUUUCUUUGUGCUGUAUAAAAAUAAUUUGAUUUUCUGCUGGUCUGUCCAUGCAGCCACCAGAAUAUAAUUAUUCGGAAAAAAAAGUUUGUUUCAUAGCCUUGUUUAUCAGGUGGCACAUCAGCUUUCCUGGGUAAAUGAGAUGGCUGAGUUUUGUUAAGCAAAGCUGUAUACAAUAUUCGUCACACAAUUAUGUGGACACAUUUAACAUAGCUGCCAGGAAAAAAAAGACCUUCUGGGCUCAAAGCUUGCCAGCUUGCAUAUAUACGCAAGUUAGAGGUGUCACGCUUGUCCCAGAACCUUUAUGUGCUCUGAAGGCAGUGGAUGCCGGAAGAGAAAUCUCCACGGUCUGUGUUUAUCAUUGGCACCUCAUGUGAGGCAUUAUCAAUCAAGUUCAAGGACACUGAAAACAUGCAGACAUGUGCCUGAGCAUGCACACACACACACACACAUACAUGCACACACGUGUGCACACAUACACGCAUGCAUCCACACCACAUAUGUGUGUGCACACAUGCACAUGCGUGCGCGCACACACACACACUAAUAUCUGGAAAUAAACAUCAGGCUGGUGAUUUGACCUCAGGAUGUUAUUGCUGGAAAGGAUUUUCAAAUCAUCUAGGCCAACCCUUCAUGUUAUAGAUUAGGUAACUCGCUGCAGCCCAGAGAGGGGAAGAGUCUUGCCUGCAGUUACUUAGCAAAGGGAAAGCCAUCAGGGGACUUGAACCCACAGUGGCUGAAUCCCAUCCCAACAAGCACACAGCCAGGACAAUUUUCCCUUACAGUGAAAGGCUCCGUCCAGCCUGUGCCCUCAAAGGGCUGUGCUGUCUUCCGCAGGGCCCCAGCCUUGGCCGAGAGUACCUGCUUCAGACGAGGCCAGCUGUAUCACAAUUCUCGUUUAAUAAAAUACUUACCUAAACACCUGCCCACAUAAGCUCACCUGGGGUGGAUGACAGAAAGGUGCCAAGGAGGACAGUGUGGGCUCAGCAUGCUGUCAGCACUUGCUGACAAGUGCCUUAGUUUCCUGGAAAUCAGAGAAGCUUCUUAUCUUUUAUUCAUUCAUUUAUUGAUUAUUUUACUAAACUACCAAUAUUUCAGUAAGUGAUAUCUUUUGCACGGAAAUCUAUUUCAUUUGCUCAUGUCAUAUGGCCACGUUCUACCAUCUUUAUGUGUAUUGCUUAAUUAUUUUAAGAUUUUUUAUGUAAACAUCUAUUGAACUCUCAUCAUAUGGUGGACAAAUUAUCAAUAGGUACAUUUUUCUAUAUAAUAUCAUUUUAUUCCUACCAAAGCCCUAGGAGAUGCUUAUUAUUGUUACUGACAUUUUUCAGAUGAGACACCUGCAUGCAUUUUGCUUCAGGUUACACAGGCAAGAAAUGGCAGAGAUGCAACUCACUGCCAAAGAUACUGUAUGGCCAGCGAAGGCGUCCUGGAGGUGGAUGGCUUUUGAGUUGGACUUGGAAGUAUCUGCGAAAGAAGAGAAAAGAGGAUGGCAACUUCUAGAAGAGAGAGAAGAGAGACUUGCAAACACAAGCAAGGAGAAGAGUGUGUUUGUCAUGGUUCUUUGUUGCAAACAACAGAACGAAACUGGCUAAUUUGAGUUAAAAAAGAAAUGAGAAAUAGGUGUGGAAGCUGGAUUGACCAGCUCAUUGAGAAGCCCACCCUGAAUGUGCCAGCUCACAGUCCAGUGGGAGGUGCCCUAGACUGAGAAGGGCUGGUCUCCAUGGAGCAGUGGAAGAGAGCCUGGGGUCUGCAAGAGCAGGGGCACCUUCUUUGGGCCCAGCCUGUGUGCAGGGCAGGUCAGACCUGCUCACGUUGCCCGGGCCCAGCUCUAGGCACUCAUUCAGCGGGGACCUCAGCCUCUGGAGAAGGGGCCCUGGCCCUGCCUGAAGGCUUCUCUGGUGGGAGGACUUGAGCUACAGCAAGUCUGAGAGGAGGAAGGAUAUUCCAGGGGAAGAGGGCUGGAUGGGAAGAACAUUCUGGUUAGACUAGGCCCUUGCACAUCCAGGGGUGAGAAACAGUGUUGCACAGUGGCUGAACGAGCUGGUUAUGUCCCUCACUUCCUGUCACAGCCUCUCUGUACCUCAGUUUCCUUCUUGCUAAAAUGAGAAUGAUAGAGGUAUUUGCCGAUAGGGGUAUUAUUUAAAUAGGUUUAUAUAAAGAACUGUCUAAAAUGGUAAGAAAAGUGCCCAGUGUGCCAAAGGUUCUUAGCAAAUGUUAGCUGUUAUGAGUAUUAUCAGUAUCAUCACAGCUAGAAGGUAGGCCACGUGAUGUGUGUGUGUGCUUGUGCACAUGUGUGUGUGCGUGAGUGCAUGUGUGCAUCCUCAGGAUGGAGGGCUACAACUGUUUCUGUGGGUCCCUAGGGUUUGGAUUUAACUCUGAGACAUUGAGGAGCCACAGACAUUUCACUGACACACAACAGACCUGACCACAUUUGUGCUUUAGAAAGUUCCCUGGGUGAAGGCCUGGGUGGUGGACUGGAAGUGGGCACGUGUAGAGGUGGGGAGGUAGUGGGAAGCGGGCCCCCACCAAGCCUGUGACAGGGACACUGGGGAGCACGACCAGUUUUGAGAGCAGUCCAGGGGUAGAGCCCACUGGUCUUGAUGUCUGAUUUGGUCUAGGAUGUUAGUAGAGGGGAGUGGAGAUGACUAGCUUUCUAUUAGAACAACAGUUGCUUAGACCCAGGGUCCAUCCACUAGGAGAGGAGGAAAAGGAUCAGGUAGGGAGGGCAGGUGGCACGUGGUCAGGGGGUUGGUGGGGUGGCCUGGUGGACAAUUGUGCCUCCAGUUAUGAGACUUACUCCAUUUGAGCAGCCAUCUAGGGAGCAAUGUCUGGCAGGCAGAUGGCCCUGUGGGAUGAGCAGGGAGCUUAGCAGGGAGGCCUGGGGCUGGAGAGGGAGAUGGGCUGUCUACGAGUGUUUUAGACCCCAGGAGAGCAUGGAUGCAGUGAGCCUUAAUUGGGAGCAAUUUUGCUUCCCAGGGGUCAUUUGGCAAAGUCUAGAGACAUUUUUGAUGGUCAGGACUGGUGGGUGCUACUGGCACCUAGUGGGUAGGGGCCAGGGAUGCUGCUACACAUCCUACCAUACACACGAAAGCCCCACAGCAAAGACUAAUCCAGCCUCAAAUGUCAGUAUGGCCCAGGUUGAGAAUCCUGAUGUAGAGUGAAAAGAGAAGAGCCCAAAGGUGGAGGCCAGAGAAACACCCACAUUUACGGAGCGCAGGGAGCUUGAAUAUCUCUGCAUCUCAGGGAGCGUCUCUGACACCCUGAAGGGGUUAGCUGCCCCCUGGGCUGUGAUAAUCACAAGCCGCAGGCCAGGAUUACAGCUCUCACUGUGCAUUUAACGGGGCGGGCAGAGACCUUCUUCUUUAACCUGAUCCAAGAUUCACCAAGGCAGGAAGCAUGUCCUUGUCAUUUCAUUCAUUCAUUUGGUACUAACUCAGCACACAGACCACUGGGCCAUUGGAUGCUCCUGUCCCCAUCAGCCCCGUUUCAACCCUGGUGCUCUCUUCCCUCCUCUCCUCACCUCUCUACUUGGUCCAGGCCACACAGACAUGUCCCGAUUCUGGCGACCUUUGGUGCCUUUUCUCUGUCCACACCCCAAUUUAUUGCUGAUCUCAUAAAAAGCAAAACUUGGGAGAGAGAAGAUUGAGUUUGCUUCUCGCAGCAGAAUUUGAUUUAGGGCCAAGAAGGUGGCAAUUGCUGCAGAACGGAGAUCGGCUAUUUCGGGAGUGCUAUGAAUGAUUUUUUCCGUCUCCAAAUGACCUUACAUAUAUUCUGUCCCCUGCCCGCCCCUGUGCUGGGAUUGAUGGGGGUGCUGCGACUGGGCUCCCGUGGGCCCCCACUGCUGCUCCUAAUAAAUCUGUCUGAUGGGCAGAAAGAGUGUGAGUACCUGGGCGGAUGGACAGCUGGAGGGGCCGGCGAUUUCACACCUGAGGUUUGGGGGACUUGGGUUCCAUGGUGGCCUCUGUGGUAACCCAUGCAUGCUAACUUGAUCAGAUUGGGGCUAUCCACUGUCACUCAAGGCUCUGCCUCCUGGGGAAGAUGAUCUGGCACAUUGGUCAGUGGUCUUUUAGUAAACCAGGGUCUGCCUUCUUCACCCUCCCUGCCUCUCUGCAUGUUUGGUCCCCACCGAUGUCAACUCCCCAGCUCUUCCCACAUGCAACCACUGUUCCUGCCCCAGGACACCAGAAGGUGCCCCUGUCCUGAGUCAGGAGUUCAAAGACUUGAAUUUGGGUCUCAAACCACUGGCAAAGUGGUCCACUUUGAGCAAAUUUCCUCUAAUCUCUGAGCCUCAACUUUCUAACUGUAAAAUAGGGGUGACACUAGUAUAACUAACCUAAGAUUAUCAAGAAUAUCACAAGAAUUUGGGUUGUGGAAUCAUGGGACUCAGAUUUCGGUCCCAGCUCCCCUCUGGCUUAGUUCAGGGGUGUUGGGGUCAUUCUUCUAGUCUUGGUUUCUCCAUCUUUGAUGAAGACCAAGUGAAAUAGGGAGUGCAUGGGCAUUUUGCGAUGCAUAAACAAUUUGAGGAAGGCUUCCCAGGAGCUUCUGCUUAGCACUUUUGGGGCUGGCUUGUUCUCUCUGCCCCAACCAGGCCUGGCCGCUGCCUGUUAUCUUCCUGCCUGGGCCACUAGGCUACAGCUCUGGUGGAAAUUGAGAGGGCGAGUCUCCCAGAAGGCACAGAGGUGGGUGUUUUCAUAAGGAGAACAUUUUGAUUUGGCUGUAUCAAAGUCCCCAUGUCAAAAUGAAAACCAUUGUCCUUUAUUUCCAAAUAAUGUGCCCCCCCCAGGAAUCUUGACAAUCCCUGACCACUCCCUCCUUUUCUUAUCUCAUCCCAGCUUCGCACCCCUUUGCUGGUCCCUACCUCAAGAGCGGAGCCAAGUGAUGGCUGUGGAAAGGUGACAGAUGGAGGGGUUUGGUGACAGUUGUUUCCACAUCUUACUUAGUGACUAUAAAAAAAUAGCUGGAAAUCGAAUGUUUGGUUUUUAAACUAAGUCAAAAUGUCUCUUUAUCAAAAGGGCUGUGUCAAACAAAACAUGGAAUCAAAAGCAGUUACAAUUUCAGGCACCUACAGGACAUGCAGGGGUGGAGGUGCCACCAUUAUGGAGAUGUGGUUCUGUCUGCAUGCCUAGGAAGCUAAUUCUCUAGGAACCCAGUAGGCCUCAGGUCCUGGAGGCCAGCUCCUCUUGGCCACGUGCAAGAGCAAAAGCACGGCAGAUGAGAUGCUCGCCCUGAGGAAGGCGGUGAGCAGGCACUGGCUGGGGUGGAGACAAUCAUCCUGAUUCUUCAGUCAGCUACAUCUCCCUCUCAGUGAGCACACGCCCGUCGACUCCCAAGAUCAGAUGGAAGCUCAGAUGCUAGGGAGCCCAGAGAGCUUUCCAACGGACGUUUCCCUAAAGCAAAUGGGCUAGAGGAACCAUAAGAUUGGGCUGGUCUACCUGCCUCUCAUGACCUAGCGGGAGUCGAAGAGGCUGAGUGCCCUUCUCAGAGCCAUAGAGCCAGUGAAGGGCCAAGAUAGAUGGGACUCAAGACCCUGGCUCAGCACCCACUGCUUCUCACCACAGUGCUAGCCCUGCCCCCAAGACACACACACACUCACCUUAAGUGGAUUGUCUCUCUUCUCAAACUCAAAAUAUGUCAAUUUUCACAUUAAAGAAAAGAUCUUCAUUCUGUGGGUCUUCAUGUGUGGAGAGGGCAAAGCAGCGCCUGGUGUAUAAAUAAGGGAGGGAGGAGGAAAUGACAUCAGAUUUAUGGUGAGCCUGCUAUGUACCUGGGACUAGGCAGAGUGCUUCCCACGAUUUCUGAUAGGAUCCUGACAACAAACACUUGUGGCACCUACCCUUGUUCCUAUUUACUGAUGAAGAAACCAAAGCUUAAAAAAGCCGGUCACUUUCCCAGAGUCCCUCAGAAAGUAAGAAGAACAGAGCUGGGUCUGUUGCUUCCUAUGGCUGAAUUUAAGAUCUCUGUCCUCUGGCAACUUCCAUGUUCAGGAGUUCCCUCUCCCUCCCAGUCUCUCCCUGUUCUUUCGUUCCUUCGUUCUGUGAAUACUUGAUGAGCAGCAGCUCUAUGCCAGGUGCUAUUCCAGGCACUGGGGAUACAGCCGUGAACCAAAGAAUGAUUAAAAUCCUUCUGUUUGUGGGACUCAAAUCUUAAUGGAGGAGCUGAGAGGGAGAUGGAAGGAUGGACAAUAAAUACAAUAAUAGGUUGAACUGCUUGAGCUUGCUAAUAUUCCACCAUCUUGACUUACAAAAAGGGCCAUUUCAUGUAGUUUAACCUAAUCAGUAAAAUACACAGCUGGUAAUAAGUGCUACGGAGUAACAUAAAGCUGAAGGGGGUGGGUUGGGGAACUCGGGUUAGAGGUGUCACCUCUACUGCUGUGCAAGGGCUCUUUCUAGCGCGCUCAUAGGACCGUGCACACCUCGUCUCCCUCGAAAACUCCCAGGCUUGAGGUAGGAGCCCUAACUCCUUCUUGGGGACUCAAGGCUUCGCAUGUUCCACCUCUGUCUCCCUGUCAGAACACAGCGUGCUCUGUCUGCCAGGGUAGCUGGCCCUUAAAGAAACCGCCCUUCAUGCCAUUGUCUGCCGGCCUUUCAGCCCAGCUGGAGCGGCAGCGCCUCAGAGUGCUUUCCUGAACCUUGCCCUCCUUCUCCCAGACACUUUUAAUUGCUCCCGCCUCUGCAUUCACACACCACUUUAUUAUAGCACUUAGAACUGCUCUUCUCUUUAGAAGAUGCUGUGAUUUAUUCAUGUGCCUCAUUAAUGGUCCUAAUCCCAGUGGCUGGUUCAGGGCCUGGUAUGCAACAAGGUUCAUGGCGGGCUUGAUGAUAAAUGAAGGAAGGAAGAAAUACUGAAUGGGAGCUACAGGGAGUAGAGAAUCAGGAAAGAUGGGGGCUUUAUAGAGAGGGUCAAUGAAAGCAGAUCUUGGGGAUGGGGGGAUUGACCAAGGGAGAGGAGAGGGGAGGCUCGUGCCCUGCCUGUCCACACUUGUCCAUAUUUGCCCAUAUCUGCUCAUGGCCUACCUGUCCACACCUGCCCAUAUCUGCCCAUGUGUGGUGUGCCUAUACCAGCCUGUCCACACCUGCCCACUUGUACCGCUUCCUGCCCUUCAGCCACCCUGGACUUGCUUUUCCUAUGGCCUUGAAGGCUCUUGUCAUUACCUCCCUCCCUGCAAUCCCUAAGCACACUUGAGGAGGCCUCUCCCAGUAGCCAGACUGGGGAGGUUGGCCUGGACGAGUGCCUAUAGCACCCAGCUGUAUCCCGUGGGAUCCUCCCUGAAGCUCUGACAUCUGUCGGGCAGCAGGGCACGGUGACUGAGUUGUUGGUUUUAGGAUCAGACUGCCCGUGUGUUCAAAUCCUAGCUGUGACCUUGGGCAAGUUGGUUGUCUUUUCUGUCAUUCCUCCAUCAUUUCCUCUGUGAAGUGAGAAUAAUAAUUGUCAACCCUGUGGAGUAUUAGGAAAUUUGCAGGAACUAAAACACGUGGAGUGCCAGCCCAGAGCCAGGCACUUAGUAAGCUGUCAGGUGGCAUUAGUUCUCAUCAUCGUGUCAUCUCUCUUUCCCUUUGGGUGGACUCCAUGAGGCGAGGGACCCUCUUGGCCUUGUUCUUUGCCUGGCACGCACAUGAAAGAGCAGGCCAGUGGCUGUUGGGUGAGCGGUUCCAGGAGGGAUCAGCAGGGGCAGACUUCGAGCUGGGCUGAGUGGAGAGGAGAGCAAUGUGACAGGGCCAGGCAGAGGAUCCAGGGUCCAGAGCACAGGGUUUUGAGAGAGGGGAGAGACUGGGGCCCUCGACUGGAAAGAAGACCAGUCUCUCUCUUGUACACAUUGACAAGUGACGCUCUGCCCAUCUGGGAAUGAGGUUGCCAGAGAAACCAGAGAUGCCCCCAGCCCAGCUUUUCUCUACGACAUUAUAUAUUCUGGGCCACAUCCCUCCAGUCAACACUUCCCCCCUCACUUUACUCCUUUUCUUACUCUUCCAUCAUAAAAAUCUCCAGAUACAGGUUUUGUUCAAAGUGAAUGAGGGAAUAAACUCUCGGUUUCUGACAGGCCGACAAGAGAGAGAAUUCUGUAAUGGGAGAUGUGGCCCUACCUUCUUGCCCUGUGGAGAUUUGGCUGAUGUUCACAUCUGUCCAGGGAAGAGGGGACUGUGUUGGGGGAGAAAGAAAGGGAAGCUUCAAGGGGCUCCUGGGCCCAUCUUGGGAACCUUAGUUCAGGUGGGCAGCCCGGGUGGGAUCUCAGUCAUUUGCUCUUGGCUAGGGGCAGGUCUUCUGGUUUGUCUACUUGGCUAACUGACAAGCUGGGUGGAACAAGCUUCAUUCAUUCAUUCAUUCACUCAUUCAUUCAUUCAUUCAAUCUCCUGUUGAUAAUUCUUUUAGCAGUCACCAAGCAUGGACCAGAGGUACCUAAUUUCCAUCAGUAUCACCUUCUUUAAGAAGUCUUUCCACAAAGGACCAAAAAUAUUUGCAAUUCAAGUUAUGGCAAAAGAUUGACUCCCCUGGUAAAUAAAGAGCUCCUGCAAAUCAUUAAGAAAAAUAAACAACCCAAUAGGAAUCCAGGCAAAGGAUAGGAACAAAUAGCUCACAAAAAGGGAGUAUGAAGGACUGUAAGACCAACGACAUGUGAAAAUGGCUGACUCUCACUCAUGAUGACAGAUGUGACCAUGGAAAUGUCACUGAGAGGCCGCCACCCUCCCCACCCCUUGAUCGCUCAAGAUUGCAUCGAUGAGGGGGUGGGACAGGUACAUACUGCUGAACAGUGGCAAAUGUUGUGGAGACCCAUUUGACCGUCUCCCCUGGAGGGGAAUUGGCAAUAUCUCCAUACUGCCUCUAUCUAGCAAACCUGCCUCCAGAAAUGAGGCCCACCUCUGCAUGUACGAGAUUAUUAGAUGGUUUGCUGAAGUAUUUUCUGUAUGGUCAAAGAUUGAAAAAAGCCUAGACAUCCAUCAUGAGGGCAUUAGCUAAAUAAUUUAUAGUGGAUUUACAGAUCCAAUUAAAUACUCUGUAGUCACAUGAGAAAAGGUAAUAGGGAGCACCUUGAUGCACUAAUGUGCAUUGGGCUCCAAGAUACAUUUUUUUUUUUUUAAAGAUUUUAUUUUUUCCUUUUUCUCCCCAAAGUCCCCCGG